GUUUGGCAAGGAUGAUGAAUCAAUUAGAUGUGUGAAAGGUAUUACUCCUUUGUGAACUCAGACUUUUGAGGCAUUUAAAUUGUCUGACUUGCCUGCC
rfam:Morus notabilis contig8043, whole genome shotgun sequence.